rnacentral:lncRNA from 1 species
CUCAGGCUUCCAAAGUGCUAGGAUUACAGGCAUGAGCCACUGCGCCCAGCCAGAGGCCCAAGUUCUAAUCAUAUCUCUGCCACCCACAGGUGUGUGACCUCCACCACCAACCAGCUGUGACUGUUGAGUGUUGAGCGGGGAGUAUUACUUGAUUCCCCAGGGCCUCAGCUUUCUGCUCUGUGAAAGGGAGACGGUGAUCUUGCCUGGUCAGCCUGAGAGCUUGUGGGUAGUGAUAAAUGACCAUGGGUGUGGUCACAUUUUUGCAAAGUGUAAAAAGCUACACCCUGGAAUUUAUUCUCCUGAAUCUUUCUCUACAGAUACAGGAUCUCACUAUAUUGACCAGGCUGGUUUUGAACUCCUGACCUCAAGCAAUCCUCCUGCUUCAGCCUCCCAAAGUGCUGGGAUUACAGGUGUGAGCCACUGCAUCUGGCCAGAUGAUGACCUUGACCUCUGAUUGCUGCCACAUAACUGGAACUCAGAGACCUUCUUGCACAUCUGUGGAAAGG